UACGUAGGUGGCAAGCGUUGUCCGGAAUUAUUGGGCGUAAAGCGUGCGCAGGCGGCUUUGCAAGACAGAUGUGAAAUCCCCGGGCUCAACCUGGGAACUGCAUUUGUGACUGCAUGGCUAGAGUGCGGCAGAGGGGGAUGGAAUUCCGCGUGUAGCAGUGAAAUGCGUAGAUAUGCGGAGGAACACCGAUGGCGAAGGCAAUCCCCUGGGCCUGCA
rnacentral:rRNA from 1 species